rnacentral:rRNA from 1 species
GAAACAGGGACCAAGGAGUCCAGAGCGUGCGCAAGUCUAUGGGUCUCCCUGCAGCCCUAAAGGCGAAAUGAAGGUGAGGAGGAGGNUCUUCCUGUCCUUCUCAGCCGUGAUCNUGGUCCCUCCGCGUUCCAGGCGCAACGGCGGCUCGUUCGUGCGUCUCCGGACGUCGGGCGAAGCAUGANCGCACUCUNUGGCACCCGAAAGAUGGUGACCUAUUCCUGGGGAAGACGAAGCCAGAGGAAACUCUGGUGGAGGUUUGAAGCGUUUCUGACGUGCAAAUCGAUCGUCUGAUCUGGGUAUAGGGGCGAAAGACUAAUCGAACCAUCUAGUUGCUGGUUCCCUCCGAAGUUUCCCUCAGGAUAGCUGGCGCUCACAAAGCAGUCUCAUGCGGUAAAGCGAAUGAUUAGAGGCUUUGGGGUCGAAACGACCUCAACCUAUUCUCAAACUUUUAAUGUGUGAGAUGUCGGAGUUGUUCGAGAGAUAAACUCCGGCGCGCGAUGAGAGUGCCCAGUGGGCCAAUUUUGGUAANCANAACUGGCGCUGUGGGAUGAACCAAACNCCGGNUUAAGGCGCCCGAUGCGAGACGCUCAUCAGAACCCAUUUAANGGUGUUGNNUGCUUAANACAGCAGGACGAGUGGCAUGGAAGUCGGA